AGAGUUUGAUCCUGGCUCAGGAUGAACGCUAGCGGCAGGCCUAAUACAUGCAAGUCGAGGGGUAGAGAUGGGUUUACUCAUCUUGAGACCGGCGCACGGGUGCGUAACACGUAUGCAACCUACCCUUUACUGGGGCAUAGCUCAGAGAAAUCUGAAUUAAUUCCCCAUAACAUUAUUGAAUGGCAUCGUUUGAUAAUUAAAGCUGAGGCGGUAAAGGAUGGGCAUGCGUUGCAUUAGCUAGUUGGUGAGGUAAUGGCUCACCAAGGCUACGAUGCAUAGGGGUUCUGAGAGGAUGAUCCCCCACACUGGUACUGAGACACGGACCAGACUCCUACGGGAGGCAGCAGUAGGGAAUAUUGGUCAAUGGACGCAAGUCUGAACCAGCCAUGCCGCGUGCAGGAAGACGGCCCUCUGGGUUGUAAACUGCUUUUAUAUGGGAAGAAACCCCUGGAUGCGUCCAGAGCUGACGGUACUUUAUGAAUAAGGAUCGGCUAACUUCGUGCCAGCAGCCGCGGUAAGACGAAGGAUCCAAGCGUUGUCCGGAUUUACUGGGUUUAAAGGGUGCGUAGGCGGACCGAUAAGUCAGUGGUGAAAGCCCAUAGCUCAACUAUGGAACUGCCAUUGAAACUGCCGGUCUUGAAUUCGGUUGAGGCAGAUGGAAUAUAACAUGUAGCGGUGAAAUGCUUAGAUAUGUUAUAGAACACCGAUUGCGAAGGCAGUCUGCUAAGUCGACAUUGACGCUGAGGCACGAAAGCGUGGGGAGCGAACAGGAUUAGAUACCCUGGUAGUCCACGCCCUAAACGUUGAUUACUCGCUGUUGGCGAUACACUGUCAGCGGCUAAGCGAAAGCGUUAAGUAAUCCACCUGGGAAGUACGACCGCAAGGUUGAAACUCAAAGGA
rnacentral:rRNA from 1 species